UCUCAAAAUAAUAAUAAUAAUAAGUUGAUGAUAAAUAUCAACGAUAAUGUUAAUAUAAGAUUGAUAACUGAUAUAUUGGUAAAGAGGUCCAGGCAUUGCCCUGGCUGCCAUGAUACUGCAAUCGACCCAGCAGACAGUCUUCAAGGAACCGGCAUUGUAAUGUCACGACACAAAUAAUAAGCAUGUAAAUAAGCAAACGAUUUGGCACCUUCUCCUUUAUCCUCCAAGCCUGGUAAAGUAAAUCCUCACCCUGGGCCCCUCCUCAAUGGGAAGUGCCAUGCAACUGGUGGCCAGGACUCCAAGGAGAACAGAAGAUAGAGUGAAAACAGGAAAUGAAGUUGUGGUUGCAGCAAAGCUGUCUCUUGCUGCAUGGUGGCUGACUAGCUGCAAAGUACUUUCACUUGUCCCAGUUCAUGGAAGCCUCCCAAGAACCCUGAGAGAAAACCAUCAUCCCGUGUGUUAUCGUCCAUUUCAGAGGUAAGGUCUCAAGGCUCAAGCUUGCUCAAGGUUACACAGAGCCUGCACUUGAACUGAGGUCCUUUCUUCAUUUGAUAUUGUUCCCACUGAACUCACUCAAAAGGGCGGAGACAGAGCCCUGCGAGAUGAUUACUUCCAGUCCCAGGAACCAAGGGCAUGCUCCAGAAGAAAGCUGCUUCUACACAGAAUUCCAUUUCUCAGAAUGUGUUUUGCUGGGAAGGGGAGUUGAAAAUUCUCAUUCUGGCCAGGUGCAGUAGUUCACACCUGUAAUCCCAGCACUUUGGGAGGCUGAGGUGGGAGGUCAGGGGUUCGAGACCAGCUUGGCCAACAUGGUGAAACCCCCAUUUCUACUAAAAAUACAAAAAUUAGCUGGGCAUGGUGGCGCAUGCCUGUAAUCCCAACUACUUGGGAGGCUGAGGCAGGAGAAUCGCUUGAACCCAGGAGGCAGAGGUUGCAGUGAGCCAAGAUGCCACUGCACUCCAGCCUGGGCGACAAGAGCGAGACUCGGUCUCAAAAAAAAAAAGGAAAAAAAAGAAAAUUCCCAUUCUGCAGGUUCCACUCCUCCACCCACCUCAUCACAGCCUUCAGAGUAGGUGCUUGGUGAGAUGUCAGCCAGGACCAUUUCCACCUGAUAUGAUUCCAGCUCUGAAGGAGGCAGGAGAAAUCCACAACCACUCUUAGACUGAGCAAUGGGGAUUUUACACCUGUUUUUCAAAAUAUCAUGUGCACUCCCACUGGUGGACAGGGAGCAUGAAACCUUUGUUGACACAGCUGUGGACAAUUCUCCUUGAAAUAGAGACCUGUUCAUUGUUUACAGGGCAAUAGUCAAUAGUGUACUUAAAUACUAUUUUUGAAUCUACAAGAUAUAUUGGCAGAUAAUAACAUUUUCUUCCUCUUCCAUUGACCAAGCAAUAAUAAAAGGGUCACAGGCGGGGCACGGUGGCUCAUGCCUAUAAUCCCAGCACUUUGGGAGGCCAAGACAGGUGGAUUGCUCGAGGUCAGGAGUUUGAGACCAGGCUGGGCAACAUGGAAAAACCUUGUCUCUACCAAAAUAAUAAUAAUAAUCAGCCAAGUCUGGUGGUGCACCUGUAGUCCCAGCUACUCCAGAGGUUGAGGUAGGAGGAUCACUGGAGCCCAGGAAAUCAAGGAUGCAGUUGGUUGUGUUGGCACCAUUGCACUCCAGCCUAGGGUGACAAAGUGAGACCCUGUCUCAAAAAAAAAAAAAAAAAAAAAGUUCAUCAAUUACAGUCCAAUAAAAACAGUCACCAAUAAGAGUCCAAUAAAGUUAUUUAGGGGAUGAGUAACUUUACAACGGGCUGAUAGUUGGUGUUUAUCAUGCUCUCAGAUCACACUAGUGGACUGAUUAACACUUGCUCCUUCCCCUCUCUAUCCAGCAGAGAAAUUUUGAGAGAAGCAUAAAGUCCAAGAGGGAAAAUGAAUUUUCAGUUAGUCUAGCUGGAGGAAUUUUGGGGCAUUCAUGCAGACACCCAGUGGAGUUAGUCUGUCCACACAUAAUAGACCUCUCUUGCUGGAGCUUGUGCCUGGAGUUCCCCAGCCCCUUUCGACAUCCCCUGGGUAGGCGUCUGGGGUGAGCACGCCCGGGUUCUUGCUUAACCUUCAACAGAGGCCUUGCCCAAGGUCAGACAGGGCCCAGGUAGCCAAUAUUUCUGGGAUGCUGGGAGCUGAAGAUACCAAGGUAGAUUACUUGCUGGGGAACAGAUCUCAAAUAGGAAGCAGUCACAUCAUGACUAUUUGCUUUACUGAACUAUGAGACAAGAACAGAACUAUCCUGAUAAGCAAUAAAAUGUCUCCCCAGGCUGAGCGUGGUGGCUCACGCCUGUAAUCCCAGCACUUUGGGAGGCCAAGGUGGGUGGAUCACCUGAGGUCAGGAGUUCAAGACCAGCCUGGCUAACAUGGUGAAACCCCGUUUCUACUAAAAAUACAAAAAAUUAGCCGGGUGUGUGGCACAUGCCUAUAAUCUCAGCUACCCAGGAGGCUGAGGCAGGAGAAUUGCUUGAACCCGGGAGGUAAAGGUUGCAGUGAGCUGAGAUCACGCCAUUGUACUCCAGCUUGGGCAACAACAGCGAAACUCUGUCUCAAAAACAAAAAAGUCUCCCCUUUCUCCCUUUCUCUUCCUUUGCCCUCUCUUUUCCAUUGACUUUCUUUUAGAUAAAUGCUUUAUUUUUGUGAAAUGAUACCUGCUCACAGAAAAAUAUUCAAAAAACGUUGAAAAGUACAAAGGAAAAAAGCCUAAAUUGCUUGAAUUCUAAUCACCUGAAGGGUAACUACUGUUAACCUUUUUGUGGCAGAAUGUGUGUGUGUGUGUGUGUGUGUGUGUGUGUGUGUGUGUGUGUGUGUGUGUGACUUUUAAGGCUUUAACAACAGGCCGGGCGCGGUGGCUCAUGCCUGUAAUCCCAGCACUUUGGGAGGCCAAGGUGGGCAGAUCACCUUAGGUCAGGAGUUCAAGACCAGCCUGGCCAACAUGGUGAAACCCCAUCUCUACUAAAAAUACAAAAAUUAACCGGCCGUGGUGGCUUGCGCGCCUAUCUUCCCAGCUACCUGGGAGGCUGAGGUGGGAGAAUCACUUGAAUCCAGGAGGCGGAGGUUGCAGUGAGCCGAGAUCGCACCACUGCACUCCAGCCUGGGUGACAGAGCGAGACACUGUCUCAAAAACAAAACAAAAUAAAGCUUUAACAGAGCAUAGCACACCUGCAGCAAAGUGCACAAAUCAUCCGUGUGCUGCUGGAUGCACACUUCUGUGUACAGCAAAUUGAAAACCGCCGUAGAGCCAGCACCCACAGGGUGCCCCCUCCACGAAUACAUACCCCCCAACCACGAACGCUAACUUAUUUAUCACCUCUGGGAACACUUUGGUGGAUGUCCUCUCAGACUUUUAUGAAACACCUGUGAUCUUAAAAACAAAUCUGGUAACGACCAUGCUCUCCCAAAAUCAGAACUGUAAAAACAGCCCACAUACCACAACUUAAUUGGCAUUCCUGCCUAUAUGACUCAUUCCGCAAAACUCCACCGGGAGUCAACGUGCUCCUGAAUCCUGGUCCACAGCCUGGCUGCCUGCUGGAGCCAGCUGGGGAGCUUUAAAACUGGUGGUGCCUGGGCCCCACCUCCAGUGUGGCUGACUUAACUGGUCCAGGUGGGACCUGGCAUUUGUGUAGAUGUAUCUCUUAUCUCCCCAGGGGAUCCUAAUGUGAUACCAAGGGGAGCACCUCUGCUCUGAGGUCGUUUUUUACUACACGAAUGCACUGCAAGUAGGACUGUGAGGUGCUGUCCCAACUGACUUGACUCCACAGAGACCACUGUGAGGCCAGAUAGAGACCAUCAUCCACUCUUGCCAGUGUGAACGCUGGGGCUCAGGAGGUCGUGGUUCUAUGCCUGGACUGCACAGUGUUGGUGGGAGGUGCACAUCCUGCCUAGAGCCCAGGCCUUUUCAGCCUUGGCCCAGGUCAUGGGUACAGGCCAAUGGAUGGAACAGAGGCAGCCCAAGCCCGAGGAAGUGUUCCACCGUCAUGGCCUCAUCAUCUGGGGGUGAGGCUGAGUGGGCUGGGCUUGUCCAGGGAGCACAGCCUCUUGGGUUUCACAGGUAGGAAUCCAAGCUGGCACAGAAAUGUGCCUGAACAUCCACAGAAUAAUUCUGGAAAAACAGGCAGGAGACUGAGAGGGCAACCUGUUUCCCUCUAGAAAGGUGACACAGGUGGAGAGGGCUCAAGUGCCUGGAUUGCCCAGAUUUAAAAUUUUUAUUAUCAAAGCCAGGCGCGGUGGCUCACACCUGCAAUCCCAGCACUUUGGGAAGCUGAGGUGGGUGGAUUAUUUGAGGUCAGGAGUUCAAGACAAGCCUGGCCAACAUGGGGAAAACCUGUCUCUACUACAAAUACAAAAAUUAGCUGGGCGUGGUGGCAGGUGCCUGGAGUCCCAGUUACUCAGGAGGCUGAGGCAGGAUAAUCGCUUGAACCCGGGAGGUGGAGGUUGCAGUGAGCUGAGAUCACGCCAUCGCACUCCAGCCUGGGCAACAGAGUAGGACUCUGUCUCAAAAAACAACAGCAACAAAUUUCUUAUCAAAAAUUUCAAAUAUACAGAGAAGUAGCGAGAAUGGACUACAUUAUUUAUUAUUUAAAAAUGAUUAAGAUCUCAGAAUGAAGAGAUAAAUAAAAGAAGCAAUGGAUGGGCAUUUCUAAACCAUUAGGAAUUGAAAUUAAGAGGAUGUUUUGCGUUUUUCCUCAAUUUUUAUUUUUUUGCAUCUAGAGUUCACUAGGACCUAAGCUUAGCGAGGGCAGGGAUUUCUGUCUCUUUAGCUCACUACUCUUUCUCUAGUGUCUAGGACAGCUCUUAACACACAGAGGAUAAAAAAUCUGAGGAUAAAUGAGUAAAUGUAUGAAUUGAGCAUGCAUUGCUUUUGUAUUUGGGAGGAAUCCAUUCUAAACAGAUACAUAUAUAGAUAGAUAGAUAUAGAUGUAGAUAUAUAUCAAUCAAGAAGUAUUCUCUUCUUAUAUAAAUAAACCCAGGAAAAUCAUCAGACAUCUCAGCCAUUGAACCUACUAAUUUAUAAACGAUGUGUGUGUGAAAAUGAUGUGCAGUUUAUUCAUGAGGGAAAAUAUAGAAUCAGGUGCCAAGUGGCAGGUCUGGGGUCCUAUGCUUUUGUGUAUUCUCCAAAUAGGGAAGAAGACAGGAGUGGAGGGUCUCCUUAGUGUCCUGGGGCCUUGACCACACAACCACCCCUGUUUCCUCACCCAUCUAUCACCCAAGACAAUGACAGAAGGGGGCCUUGCUAUCUCUUUACAGCAGGGCAGAAAAUGCCAGCCAAGGAAGGUAAAUGAGAGACUUCAGGACUUGGCCCCAGACAGUUGACUUGGACUACAUUUGUCCUGAAGGGACAGGCUGGAUCCAUUGAAAAUUAACCCGGCUGGGUGUGGUGGCAUGCGCCUGAAAUCCCAGAAGUUUGGGAGGCAGAAGCAGGUGGAUUGCUUGAGCCCAGGAGUUUGAGACCAGCCUGGGCAACAUGGAGAAACCCCGACUCUACAAAAAAUACAAAAAUUAGUGGGGUGUGGUGGGGAUGCCUGUGGUCCCAGCUACUCAGGAGGCUGAGGUGGGAGGAUCACUUGAGCCCAGGAGGCCAAGGCUGCAGUGAACCAAAAUUGCACCACUGCACCUCAGCCUGGGCAGCAUAGUGAGACCUUGCCAAAAAAAAAAAAAAAAAAAAGCCAGGCAUGGUGGCUCAUGCCUGUAAUCCCAGCACUUUGUGAGGCCAAGGCAGGCAGAUCACUUGAGGUCAGGAGUUCGAGACCAGCCUGGCCAACAUGAUGAAAUCCCAUCUCUACUAAAAAUACAAAAAUCAGCUGGGCAUGGUGGCACAUGCUUGUAAUUUUAGCUACUUGGGAGGCUGAGGCAGGAGGAUUGCUUGAACCUGGGAGCCGGAGGCUGCAGUGAGCUGAGAUUGCACCACUGCACUCCAGCCUGGGUGACAGAAUGAGACUUCAUCUCAAUAAAAUAAAAUAAAAUAAAAUAAAAUAAAAUAACCUUGAGCAUCCUCAGGUGUCCCAUCUUUAGAAUCUCUCAGCAUUUAUAAAAUUCACUGCCACACUGCAAUUAUGUCUUCUCCCUUCUUAAAUAGGCUUGGGUUUAUGGAAAAUAACAACAAAUGAAACCAUAGCUAACAUGUAGAAGGCAUUUACAGAUUUCCAAGAGCCUUCAGACCAAAUGUUUCACGAAAGUCCUGUGAUGAAAACCAUAUAGUUACAAUGAUUCUUGUCCAUUUUCUAGAUGAGGAGACUGAGGCUGAAAAUUUACUGGAUUUGCCCAAAUGACAGAGGGGCUAGGACCUGAGCCAAGGUCCCCCACUUCUAGAGCCAAUCAUCUGUAUGUUACUUCCUGCAGUUGUAGGAGUUGUUCCUACCCAACGCCCUCCCUGUCUGUUCCCAUGUAUAACAGGAUCUCACAGCAAGUUCUGGGCACUUGGGGGACAGGUUAAAUUGGGGUUAGCACUGGAAAGUCCUGUUUUCUCAUCCAUAAAAGUAGGAGUUUAGAUCAGGUGACCUUUGGGCAUCCCUAAAUCCUGAGACGUUUUUAUUUUCUGCUCCAUUUCAAAGGUCAAGAGAUCAGGUCCCUGGCCAGGUAGACUCCACUGAGGGCAAAGCAAGAAGAAAAGAUGUCCGUGGUGACCUUUUCCAUCUGCAUUUACCAUCAGAUACCAAAGAGACCGUUGGUUUUUUACUCAGCAAACAUUUAUUGGGGUUACCGUGUGCCGGUAUCACUCUAGAAGCUACAGACCCACAGACAAUGCCUGGGUCAGCCUCCUCCUUCUGUCCAAGAGAGAGACUGGUGAUUCAGAACCAGCUCAGGGAGGUCAGGCGGGAGGAUGGGUGAGAUUCCAUGGUUCCAGAGAGAACUGCUGCCAUCUUGGCGGCCGUGGAGAGGGUGCCAAGGAAGGUUCUAGAAGAGCAGAGGCUAAAGCAUGGCCUUGCAGAGAGGGUUGGGGUUACCUGGUAGACUGAGAGGCCCAUGCAUCUUAGGAGUGAAGAGCAGGCAUCUUCCAUGCAAUUUGCCCCUGUGUUUUCAUCUCCCAACCCCUCUUCAACUUUCUCAUUUAGCUUUCUCUCACUGGUGAUGAGAAAAUCCUUAGUCCACUACUCUGUGAAAAGCUGUAGAAAGUUCCCUGAAGUACAAGAGGAUGAAAUGAUUUCCUUCCAGGAAUAAAUGAAUGAGGAGGAAGGAAUCUCCUCCUGAGACCAUUGGAACCUCAGUGUUGUUUCCUGCCCCAACUAGCUCACCUAGCAGUCAAGGUCCUUCCCAAACUUCCAAACAAAUACUGUUUGGAAGUUUCUGCUUCUGUUUUGGACUAUGAUGAAAUAUUUCCAUAAAUUAUUAGUCCGUUGAGACCCAACAUAAAAACAGCAAGCGUACGUGCAACACUUCGGACUUUGCUACUGUUGCUGGUCGUCCUGGCCCGCGGCAGAACCAACCAUCACUGGAGAAGUCAAUCAGCUGACACAGGAGCUCCUUCCCUAACACAGGGCCUUUUGCAUCUACCCUGCUAAGCGCGCAUGUGCAGAGGAGAGUCCCUUGGAAUCAGCAGCCAAUGUCCUCAUUUCCUUGGGUGGCAUUUUGCCAAAUCCGUAUUCCACAGGUGCUCCUGGCUCCCUCUCCUUCACUUUUUCCCAGCAGAGCUGCUCAUCCAGUGGCACUGAAAAUGGGUUUUGAGGCCGGGUGCGGUGGCUCACGCCUGUAACCCCAGCACUUUGGGAGGCCGAGGCAGGCGGAUCAUGAGGUCGGGAGAUCCAGACUAUCCUGGCCAACAUGGUGAAAUCCCGUCUCUACUAAAACUACAAAAAUUAGCUGGGUGUGGUGGCGCGUGCCUGUAAUCCCAGCUACUCGGCAGGCUGACCCAGGAGGCAGAGGUUGCAGUGAGCUGAGAUCCCGCCACUGCACUCCAGCCUGGUGACAGAGCGAGACUCUGUCAAAAAAAAAAAGAAAAAAAAGAAAAAAAAAAAAGAAGAAGAAAACAAAAGAAAAGAAAAUGGGCUUUGUUGCUUCCCUGAGUCAUCUCCACCUUCCCCCAAACUCUUCUCCCAGGUUGGUCCUUUUCUUCUCAGGAUCCAGGUUUUAUUCAUGAUGUUCCUCUUGUCUGGAAAGACCCCCUCCUGCUCCCUGCACUCCUCCCUCCUUCUGCUGCCUUCUCUCCUUCUCCCAGGUCUAUAUCAAACCCAGGCUCCCCAAGAAGCUCACCCACUCUGAUGGCAGGCCCUGCUCUGUGAUGCUCCUGGUUGGCUGAUCUUCUCAUCUCCACGUGGAUGGAAGGUGCCACAAGGAUGGGAGCCACCUUCCUCACCUUUGUUCCCUGGGAAGCACUUGUCACAUGCCCUGUGUGUCCCAGAUGCUUCGUGGGUGAGCACGUAUUGAAUUGGAAUCUCCAGAAGGAGCAGGAGAAUACAUGGCCUAACACUCAGAGAAAUUGUGUGAAAAUCAUUCCAUAUUUUCUUCGUGUAUCCAGUGGAAAUACUGUAAACAGCAGGACCACUAUCCUGUAGGCAGAUGUCAUUUACUUUGUGCAUAGACUUUCUUAACACUUAUGAGGCACUACCUGCACGCAAGGGCUUGGGGGGUGGGAAAUACCACCAAAAAAGCCCCCACUUGAGAUAUUUAGCUAGUGCCUGAGAAAAUAAAAUAAUUGUUAGGGUGUGUUUAUUUGAAAGUUUUGAAAAAAAUACUUAGGUGGUGUUUCUAAUUCUCAAAAGAAUUACUUUUUUUUUAAGUGCUUAGCAUUCUUCAGUAGGAAGGACCUUGAAAAGUACAUCCGUUGUUGUUCUAUGAAGUAAAUGAAUUCUGUUCUUUGCAUGAUGACAUUUUCUAGUACUUAUAUUGAGAAAAGUGGAAAGUUUAACUCCUAACCAUUGUCAUUUCUUUCCAAUUUAAUGUCAAAACAUUUUUUUUAACCAUUAGGGAUAGAAAUAGUCUAACAGGUGUGCUAUGGUGUGUUAUGAACAAAAUGAUAAAUUAAGGUGUUUAGCACAGAGUUACAGAGAUGUUAACUAUGUACUAAUUUUAUAUUUCAAAUAUAUUUACUGAGAUAUAAUUCACAUACCAUAAAAUUCACCCAUUUAAAGUGUUAAAUUCAGUGGUGUUCUAUAUUCAUAGAGUUAUGCAAUCAUCCGCCAUGAUCUAAUUUUAAAGCAUAGAUUUUUCUUUUCUUUCUUUCUUUUUUUUUUAGAGACAAGGUCUUGCUCUGUCACCCAGGCUGGAGUGCAGUGGCUUGAUCCUAGCUCACGACGGCUUUGAACUCCUGGGCUCAAGCGGUCCUCCAGCCUCAGCCUCCAGAGCAGCUAGGACUACAGGUACGUGCUACCAUGGCCAGCUCAUUUUUAUGGUUUUUUUUUUUUCUUUUUUUUGUAGAGAUAGGAUCUCACUAUGUUGCCAAAGCUUGUUUGGAACUCCUGGCCUCAAGCGAUCCACCCGCCUCAGCCUCCCAAACUGCUGGGAUUAUAGGUGUGAACCACUGCACCCAGCCUAAGUUUAGAACAUUUUCAUCACCCCAAAAAUAAACCCCAAACCUUUUAGCAGUCAUUCCCUACCGUCUUCACCACCCCUAGUCUUAGAGAAACAUUAAUCUACUUUCUAUCUUUAUAGAUGUGCCUAUUCUAGACAUUUUAUAUAAACAGAAUCAUAUAAUAUGUGCUAUUUUAUUCACGGUUUUUUUCACUUAGGAUACUGUUCUCCAGAUUUAUCCACACUGUAGUAUAUAUCAGCACUUCAUUCCUUUUUAUGGCUGAAUAAUAUUACAUUACAUGGAUAUACCACAUUUUAUCUAUUCAUAGUUGAUAAACACUUUAGUUGUUUCCACUUUUUUACUAUUAUAAAUAACGCUGCUACGAA
rnacentral:lncRNA from 10 species